UAUGCAAAAAAUUGCAGGGCACCAUCCAGAGGCUUAGAAUUCUGUACCAGUGCUGAAAGAUUUGUAUUCUUUGUAGAGCAAACAACCAUUCUUCCGAUGCUCAGGCUUCUAUUUGGAGAUAGAUUACUGCCAAACUUCAAAAGGAACUACUUUCCAGCACUUCUUCAGUCCGAUCGGUGUCUUCAUACAUUAUAUUCCUCUUUUGCAGAUGAUACCCAAACUUCAUUAAAUUACAGUGGGAUCGAUAACAGGGAGAUUGAUGUUGACCUCUUAUUUGACUCAUGCACAAAUUCCCAGCUUGCCAAACGCCUUCACACCUUACUUAUUGUGUUGGGUAAGGUCCAAAGUCUAUUCAUUUCCACAAGGCUUAUCAACCUUCAUGCCAAUCUUGGUAAUAUCUCUUUAUGUCAACAAACUUUUGAUCAAAUCCCUAUAAAAGAUGUUUACACCUGGAAUUCUAUGAUAUCUGCAUAUGUCCGCAACGGCAUUCCUAGUGAUGCUGUGAAUUGUUUAUAUAAAAUGUCGAGGUAUGAAGUUAAGCCUGAUUUCUAUACUUUCCCCCCUGUGUUAAAAGCAUGUCGUAAUUUAAAUGAUGGGAAGAGGAUACACUCCUGGAUAUCCAAAGCAGGGUUGGAAUGGGAUGUCUUUGUUGCUGCUUCUUUGGUGCAUAUGUACUGCCGCUUUGGUUUGUUUGAUGCUGCUUACCAAAUAUUUAGGAAUAUGCCCUUUCGAGAUAUGGCUUGCUGGAAUGCUAUAAUAUCUGGGUUUUGUCAGAAUGGGAAGGGUGAAAAGGCAUUGGAGGUCUUGGAUGAGAUGAAAUUUGAAGGGAUUAAAAUGGAUUCUGUUACUGUAUCCACCAUUCUUCCUGUUUGUGCACAAAUGGAUGACAUGGUGCAAGGAAGAUUGACACAUUUGUAUGUCAUAAAGCAUGGACUGGAAUCUGAUUUAUUUGUUGGCAAUGCCUUCGUAAAUUUCUAUGCAAAAUUUGGUGAACUUGAACAUGCUCAGAAGAUCUUCGAUAAUUUGGUGACAAGAGAUUUGGUAUCAUGGAAUUCAAUAAUUGCUGCUUAUGAGCAGAAUGGUAAUCCUGAUUGUGCACUUAACCUUUUUCAUGAGUUGCAAAUAAAUGGAUUUAAGCCUGAUUUGCUGACACUAGUAAGCGUUGCUUCCAGUAUUGCUCAAUCAAGGGACUCUCAAAGCAGCAGAUGUGUCCAUGGUUUCAUCCUAAGGAGAUGUUGGUUUGUAAAAGAUGUCAUAAUUGGAAAUGCGGUGGUGGACAUGUAUGCAAAACUGGGAGAUAUGGACUCUGCUAUCAAACUCUUUGGAAGUAUCUGCUUUAAAGAUGUAGUUUCUUGGAACACAUUGAUUACAGGAUAUGGACAAAAUGGCCUUGCAUGUGAAGCCAUUGAAGUUUACCGUAUGAUGGUAAAGACUGAAGGCAUAAUGCCGAACCAAGGAACUUGGGCGAGCAUUAUACCGGCUUAUGCUCACAUAGGAGCCCUAAAAGAAGGGGCUACAACUCAUGGGAGGGUCUUGAAAUCAGGCCUGCUUUCGGAUGUCUUCAUUGGAACCUGUUUAAUCGACCUUUAUGGAAAAUGUGGAGAAGUGGAAGAUGCAUUAUCUUUAUUCUAUCAAGUACCUAGAAAAAGUUCAGUUCCCUGGAAUGCUGUGAUAUCUUGUCUUGGCAUUCAUGGACAUGGAGAUAAGUCUCUGCAACUAUUUAGGCAUAUGCUUGAUGAAGGGGUUCAGCCAGACACUAUAACUUUCAUUUCCUUAUUAUCAGCAUGCAGCCAUUCAGGUUUAGUUGAGCAGGGUGAGCGGUUCUUUAACUUGAUGCAACAUGAUUACGGGAUCAAACCUAGCUUGAAGCACUAUGGCUGCUUGGUUGAUUUGCUUGGUAGGGCUGGCCAAUUAGAAAAGGCUUAUAAUUUUAUAAAAAGUAUGCCUUUGCAACCCGAUGCUUCAGUUUGGGGUGCUCUUCUUGGUGCUUGUAGGAUUUAUGGAAAUGCGGAGUUGGGUAAAGUGGCUUCAGAUCGCUUGUUAGAAGUUGAUCCGGAUAAUGUUGGAUACUAUGUUUUGUUGUCCAAUAUAUACGCAAAUGCUGGAAAGUGGGAGGGUGUGAAUAGAGUAAGAUCGUUAGCUAAUAGCAAGGGAUUAAAGAAGACUCCUGGAUGGAGCUCCAUUGAACUAAACAAUAAGAUGGAGGUUUUUUACACGGGGAACCAAUCCCAUCCCCAAUGUGAUCUAAUAUACGAAGAGUUGGAAAAUUUAACAGCCAAAAUGACGAUUCUUGGUUAUAUUCCAGAUUAUAGCUUUGUGUUGCAAGAUGUUGAGGAGGAUGAAAAACAACAUAUCCUUACAAGUCAUAGUGAGAGAUUGGCAAUUGCAUUUGGAAUCAUUAACACUCCUUCUAAGACCCCUAUUCGGAUCUUCAAGAACUUGCGGGUUUGUGGGGAUUGUCACAAUGCCACCAAGUUCAUAUCCAAGAUUACUGAGAGGGAGAUCAUCGUGAGGGACUCUAAUCGUUUUCAUAAUUUCAAGGAUGGUGUAUGUUCUUGUGGUGAUUAUUGGUAAUAUUUAAGUUCAAUCCACCAAAAACAGACAAAAUCCAGUUUGGAAUCUCUCAGAUAAUGCAUCAAUCAUCAGGUUUGAGAUUUCCAACUUCAGGCUUAUAGAUUUUGGCGGCCUCUACUCUUGCACAUACAUGUUUUUUCUCUCUUUCACACACUUUUCAUAAGCCGGAGUCUUCAUAGUAUGAAACAGAAUCUUUGAGGUAUAAGUCAGGUUUGCAUUGACCCCACCUUCUAGUGUGUUGGUGGGAUAUACCGGCAACAUAUGUUUUUUAUUAUAUGCAUUUUGUUUUUGGUAAAUUUUAUUUGAUGAUUCACUUUCAUAUAUUUGUAUUUGAUGCUUAGUUGAAAUUAAAAUUAAAAAAGCCUUGAACUGCAAUUCUCUUAAUGCGUCACCGUCAAACACAUGCUUAAUAACGUUUUUCAUCUUCUGGGUUUAGAUGCAAAUCUGCUUAUUACUAGUCAAUAUUUUAUGACUUCUUUUUCCUUAUAUGAAAACUUGUGACUGGGUUUAAAUCGAGCUUUUAUUUGGCUUUAUAAGCAGUAAUAUUUGGUCUUGAACUUGCUAAACUGCCCUUUUCCUUCAUUUGUACGUAAUAUGCCUAGUAUCUAUAUAUAUAUUGGGGAUUUGUGUUGUUUGAUGAUGGGUAUUAUAAUCUUUGCGCUAAAUGUUCACUUCUGCUGUCAUAGUGGUUGAUUUCAGGAUGAGGUCCUAGCUGUUCCUUGCUUAUUAUGUUGUUUACAUCGAAUGUUUGCAUAUGCUAAAUAAUUAAACAAGAAGGGGCCGUUUACUUACCAGGUAAGCAUUACCGGGAAGAGUCAUCAUCCUUGAUUAUUUUACCGGGAACUAGAAGUCUAGAGGUUUUGGUUGGGUGCGGAAGAUAAGAAAAUUACAGUUUUUGGAAUGUCGUGGGCGAUGUUAGCGGUUGUUCCUUAUUCAUUCGUUGCCGUUGAACUGGUGACGCAACAAUGAAGGCAGAGCCAAGUCUCAACAAGAAGCCAGAGGAAGAACAAGACCGCUUGUUUUGGAGCUAGGAAAAGGGAGCCUCUUUGGCAGUGCAUAAAGAAUUGUUUUAUGUGCUGUAAGCUGGAUAAGGGACCCAACUUCCCCUUCCCUGAAGAAAUAUUUGAUGAUCUCUUUUGAUAUUCAGGGAGAAGACAACAUGGUCUACCAAUGAAGACUAUUUGCUAGAGAUGAAGUUCAGUCCCUCCAUUGAUUAUGGCUUCUUCGUCAAUUUCCACUAAGAGUAUAACUUGCUUCAUUGCUUUCCUACCCAAAACUCUAAAACUGAUCACAAUUUUUUUGGACGUUUAUUCAAUUACAGGUUAAUAAAGGUUGAUGGGAUUAUUUGGCUGAUGGAAGAGGAUAAUACUGGACCGAUCAACAUUAGUAAUCCAAAUGAAUUUACAAUGAUUGAACGUGCUGAGACAGUGAAGGAGUUUUUUAAACCAACAAUUGUUAUCCAAUGGCAUUGGAGCAAGUAUUUGCAGAGCAAAUCAACAAUUAUGUUGCUGAUCUUGAAGACCGAAAGUUCGGAUGGUACUGUUUUUCUCUAUAUGCCGUUCGAACCAUGUAUCCUCACAUGGACCCAAGCAUUCACAAAGGUGGAACUGCAAAUAUCUUUAUAAAGCGACUAAAUGUCAUCAUGCCAUUUGGGUUGGUUUCGGCGUGGAACAAGCGAAGAAGAAUCAAGUCAGAAGGAUCAUCUUGAUCCAUGCAAGUUUCUGCGGUUUCCGCAAGUUCCCACCCAAGAUUUCUGCAACUUCUAAUGGUGAAUACUGAACCUUUUGCGGGGUUUAUAGACAUGUUGCUAAUAGUUUUUGGCUGAUGACUUGAGUAGUAUGUGUUCUUUAGUAGAGGUUGAGAAGGUUCUAGAAGGUGAGGUUGUAGUUGAACAUCAAGUUGGGCAUGAAGCUAUUGUUGGUAAUGGAGGUGAAGCUGCCAUUGGACAUCAAGAAGGGAUAGAUGAAUAGUCGAAUACCUUGUAUAUGACAAAUAUAUGGAAUGUGGAUGAUCUUCAGUAGAUAAUACUCUUGAUAUAGAUUAGGAAUUACUUUGUAAUGGUAAGUGAUGCAACUUGUGGUA